GCAUCAAGGAAGCUUCGUCCUGCUCCCAUACCAAGGAAGCCAUGCCCAGACCAACAUAUACAAACAUUUAUUCUCCCCACCCAUGCAACCUGCUCGUCUCUCACUCAGCAAGGACCGUGGUUGGCACUUGUCACGCUCAUGGCUGACCAACUACAAUCUGCUCGUCUUCAGCCUUGAUGGCGUCAUUCUAGCAGAUCUGCAGAUGCCUUCCCACCGUUGCCUAGCACCCUCAAGGACCAGGAAAGCAGCCGGGUGGAGACAGGGGCGUCCUCCCUUUUAACCGCAGCUUCCACCUCCUGCACUUUGGGUGCUGCUGUCGACGCUGCUCCUUCUCUUCCCCUCGGGAGGUAUGGACAAAUGGUGAUAAAUUGUUUGCUUAAUGAAUUGGUGCUCAACUAGACAAGCCCGAGGUCUAACCAGCUAUAAUCUCAGUGGCCAUUUCUUCGAAUAAGCAAGUCAUCUGAAUCUCUUUAUUGUUUCUUUAUCGAUAUACUCCCAUUUUCGUAAUCUUGAUUUUGAUAACUAUGGUAGAGACUAUGGGUAGAUCUAGAGUUCUUCAAAUGUCCAGUGUCUUUCCCGGGCGGGCAUCGCUCUUUCAUUAAAUCGGCAUUUUGUACAAAAAUAACACAUGGCCUGUUAACUGCUCAUGCAACUUUUUGCUUGCGGUUUCGGUAGCAACGUUUGCUUGCCUAUUUCACUUUGCUUUA